UACGGGGGGAGCAAGCGUUGUUCGGAUUUACUGGGCGUAAAGGGCGCGUAGGCGGCGUGACAAGUCACUCGUGAAAUCUCCGGGCUUAACUCGGAACGGUCAAGUGAUACUGUCGUGCUAGAGUACAGAAGGGGCAACUGGAAUUCUCGGUGUAGCGGUGAAAUGCGUAGAUAUCGAGAGGAACACCUGCGGCGAAGGCGGGUUGCUGGGCUGAUACUGACGCUGAGGCGCGAAAGCCAGGGGAGCGAACGGG
rnacentral:rRNA from 1 species